rnacentral:rRNA from 1 species
CACGGCGCAAGCGAUGCUAUGUGCGUUCUGGAAGGGGUGAUUCGGGCACACCGGACUGAGACACGGUUCCAGUUCCUUACGAAGCAGCCAGUAGGGAAAUUUUUCGCACAUUGGCGCAAGCCUGAUCGUAGCCAAUCACGCGUGAGUGAAUGAAGUCUUUCGGUUGUAAAACUCUGUUUUUAGUGAAAGAACAGCAGCUUUAGUAAAUGUGCACUUUUUGACGGUACUCAUCAGAAAGCCACCGCCUACUAUCGUUGCCAGCAGCCGCGGUAAUACGUAGUGGCAAGCGUAUCCUGAAUAUUGGGCGUAAAGCGCGCGUAGGCGGUGUUUUAAGUCUGAUGUGAAAGCUCACGGCUCACCGUGGAGGGUCAUUGGAAACUGGAAAACUUGAGUGCAGAAGAGGAGAAGUGGAAUUCCAUGUGUAGCGGUGAAAUGCGCAGAGAUAUGGAGGAACACCAGUGGCGAAGGCGACUUUCUGGUCUGUAACUGACGCUGAUGUGCGAAAGCGUGGGGAUCAAAACAGGAUUAGAUACCCUGGUAGUCCACGCCGUAAACGAUGAGUGCUAAGUGUUAGGGGGUUUCCGCCCCUUAGUGUUGCAGCUAACGCAUUAAGCUCUCCGCCUGGGGAGUACGACCGCAAGGUUGAAACUCAAAGGAAUUGACGGGGACCCGCACAAGCGGUGGAGCAUGUGGUUUAAUUCGAAGCAACGCGAAGAACCUUACCAAAUCUUGACAUCCUUUGACAACUCUAGAGAUAGAGCUUUCCCCUUCGGGAGACAAAGUCCCAGGUGGUGCAUGGUUGUUGUCAGCUCGUGUCGUGAGAUGUUGGGUUAAGUCCCGCAACGAGCGCACCCCUUAAGUUUAGUUCCCAUCAUUAAGUUGGGCACUUUAAGGUGACUGCCGGUGACAAACCGGAGGAAGGUGGGGAUGACGUCAAAUCAUCAUGCCCCUUAUGAUCUGGGCUACACACGUGCUACAAUGGACAAUACAAAGGGCAGCGAAACCGCGAGGUCAAGCCAAUCCCAUAAAGUUGUUCUCAGUUCGGAUUGUAGUUUGCAACUCGACUACAUGAAGUUGGAAUCGCUAGUAAUCGUAGAUCAGCAUGGUACGGUGAAUUCGUUUCCGGGUCUUGUUCACCCCCCCCCUCCCCCCCAGAGAGUUUGUAACCCCCUUAUCCAUUGGAGUUACCUUUUAGGAGCUCGCUUUCCAAGGUGUGACAAAUGACUGGGUGAAAGUCGAAACAAAGUCCCCUCCU